AUUCCAUGGUGAGGACAUUUUCUUAACAAAGUUUUUAAUCUUUCCCAAGCUUGGUAAACUGAUUCAGUAUCAUUUUGAACAAAAUUAUUGAUAUCUAGUCUCAUUUU